rnacentral:rRNA from 1 species
AACGAACGCUGGCGGCAUGCCUAACACAUGCAAGUCGAACGAGAUCUUCGGGUCUAGUGGCGCACGGGUGCGUAACGCGUGGGAAUCUGCCCUUUGGUUCGGAAUAACAGUUGGAAACGACUGCUAAUACCGGAUGAUGACGAAAGUCCAAAGAUUUAUCGCCAGAGGAUGAGCCCGCGUAGGAUUAGCUAGUUGGUGUGAUAAAGGCGCACCAAGGCGACGAUCCUAGCUGGUCUGAGAGGAUGAUCAGCCACACUGGGACUGAGACCCGGCCCAGACUACUACGGGAGGCAGCAGUGGGGAAUAUUGGACAAUGGGCGAAAGCCUGAUCCAGCAAUGCCGCGUGAGUGAUGAAGGCCUUAGGGUUGUAAAAUUCUUUCACCGGGGACGAUAAUGACGGUACCCGGAGAAGAAGCCCCGGCUAACUUCGUGCCAGCAGCCGCCGUAA